GACACACAUCUAGGCCAAUUGCUUAAGUGAAGUGAGUCUCCUCACCUUCCUAAGCCCUGUCCAGGGGGAAUUUUGAUGUAUCACAAAAACCAGCAUCCAGUUGAUGUGACUCUUCUUCCAGGGUCCUGCCCACAAGAAAGAUUGUGACAUCUCACUGGACAAGCACCCACCCAGACUCUGCCAAGAGAGGGGAUUAUUACAUAUUGCAGAGCCCAGCACCUAGGUGGAGUGACUCUCAUCUUUUUCUUCUACCCCGUAUAUAGCCAGCUUGGUGACCUACUAUUUGAGUCUAUACCCAGGCCCAGACCACAGAUGAAAUUGUGCAAUAUGUGGAACAAACACCUAAACAAUAUAUAACACCUUCCUUGGCUCUGUCUACAAAGGGCACUUUUAUAUAUCACUGGGACCAUCAACCAGGUGAUGUUAAUUAUCUUCCUGAAACCUGUCUACAAAGAGAGUUGUGUCGUAUACCUAGGCCCGUCAUGUAAGUGAUGUCAGUCCCUUCUACUGCCUUGGCCCUGCACUUACAGUGCAUUGUGACACAUAACAAGGUACUGCACACAGACGAUGUGAUUCUCCUUUUUGGGUUCUGCCAAAAGGAAGCAUUGUAAUAAAUCGCUUGGCUCAGUACCAAGGUGAUGUUUCUUUGCUUUUGCCUGGGCCCUGAUAACAGGGAGAUUGUGAUCUAUUGCUGGGCCCAACAAAAAUGUGAGGUCACUCUCCAGCCGUGGUACUUCACAUAAGCGCCAUUGUGACAUGUAUCUAGGCCAAUUGCCUAGGUGAAGUGAGUUUCCUCUCUUGCCAAAGUCCUGCCCACAGAGGGGGUUUUGAUAUGUCACUGAAAUCAGCAUUCAGGUGAUGUGACUCUUCUGCCAGGGUCCUGCGUACUAGGUGGAUUGUGACAUCUCACUGGACCCGCAACCAUGUAGGUCAUGUGACUUUCAUGCCUUCUCACUGGCCACAGGUGAUGUUGUGCCAUAUAACUGAGACCGUAUCAAAAGCCUAAUAACAAGACGUAUGUCUGGAGCCCCGAUAUGCACAGGAUGGUGAUAUAACCCUCUUCUCUGGAAUGGGCCCCACACAAAGGAAGGAUAGUGACAUAUUGCAAGCCCAGGCACACAGGAACAUUGUGACAUCGCUGGAUGUAGCAUCUACGAAAUGUGACUCUCCUCUCCUGCUUAGGUCCUGCCCACAAAAGGAAUUGUGACAUAUCACUGAGUGCAAAACCUAGUAAAUGCAACUCUCCUCUUUA
ensembl:lncRNA LINC00293 long intergenic non-protein coding RNA 293